GAUGAACGCUAGCGGCAGGCUUAACACAUGCAAGUCGAGGGGUAUUGGUUUUCGGACCAAGAGACCGGCGCACGGGUGCGUAACGCGUAUGCAAUCUACCUUUUGCAGAGGGAUAGCCCCAGAGAAAUUUGGAUUAAUACCUCAUAGUAUAGUACUUUGGCAUCAAGGAACUAUUAAAGUCACAACGGCAAAAGAUGAGCAUGCGUCCCAUUAGCUAGUUGGUAAGGUAACGGCUUACCAAGGCUACGAUGGGUAGGGGUCCUGAGAGGGAGAUCCCCCACACUGGUACUGAGACACGGACCAGACUCCUACGGGAGGCAGCAGUGAGGAAUAUUGGACAAUGGGCGCAAGCCUGAUCCAGCCAUGCCGCGUGCAGGAUGACGGUCCUAUGGAUUUGUAAACUGCUUUAUACAGGAAGAAACACUACUUCGUGAAGUAGCUUGACGGUACUGUAAGAAUAAGGNUCGGCUAAACUCCGUGCCAGCAG
rnacentral:rRNA from 1 species